UCGGGAAUUUUGGGCAAUGGGCGCAAGCCUGACCCAGCAACGCCGCGUGAAGGAUGAAGUUUUUCGGAAUGUAAACUUCACAAGAAUGGGAAGAAUAAGAAUUGGCUAACAUCCAAUUCGAUGACGGUACCAUUUGUAAGCUCCGGCUAACUCCGUGCCAGCAGCCGCGGUAAUACGGGGGGAGCAAGCGUUGUUCGGAUUUACUGGGCGUAAAGGGCGCGUAGGCGGCGCGACAAGUCACUUGUGAAAUCUCUGGGCUUAACUCAGAGCGGCCAAGUGAUACUGUCGUGCUAGAGUGCGGAAGGGGCAACUGGAAUUCUCGGUGUAGCGGUGAAAUGCGUAGAUAUCGAGAGGAACACCUGCGGCGAAGGCGGGUUGCUGGGCCGACACUGACGCUGAUGCGCGAAAGCCAGGGGAGCGAAC
rnacentral:rRNA from 1 species